CUAAGAAUCUUCCGCAAUGGACGAAAGUCUGACGGAGCGACGCCGCGUGGGUGAUGAAGGCGGAAACGUUGUAAAGCCCUUUUAUAGGCGAGGAAUAAGAUCAGGAGGGAAUGCCUGGUCGAUGACGGUAGCCUGUGAAUAAGCCCCGGCUAAUUACGUGCCAGCAGCCGCGGUAACACGUAUGGGGCGAGCGUUGUUCGGAAUUAUUGGGCGUAAAGGGUGCGCAGGCGGUUCAAAAAGUCUGGUGUUAAAUCCCGCAGCUUAACUGCGGACAGGCAUCGGAAACUGUUGGACUAGAGUUCUGGAGGGGUAGCUGGAAUUCCAGGUGUAGGGGUGAAAUCUGUAGAUAUCUGGAAGAACAUCAAUGGCGAAGGCAAGCUACUGGCCGUGAACUGACGCU
rnacentral:rRNA from 1 species